UACGUAGGGUGCGAGCGUUGUCCGGAAUUAUUGGGCGUAAAGAGCUCGUAGGCGGUCUGUCGCGUCGAAUGUGAAAACCCGGGGCUCAACUCCGGGCUUGCAUUCGAUACGGGCAGACUAGAGUUCGGUAGGGGAGACUGGAAUUCCUGGUGUAGCGGUGAAAUGCGCAGAUAUCAGGAGGAACACCAAUAGCGAAGGCAGCUCGCUGGGACGUUACUGACACUAAGGCGCGAAAGCGUGGGGAGCGAACAGG
rnacentral:rRNA from 1 species